AAUCAGUGUGUGUGUUAGUGGAAGCGUCUGGAAAGGCGUGCGAUACAGGGUGACAGCCCCGUACACAAAAAUGCACAUGCUGUGAGCUCGAUGAGUAGGGCGGGACACGUGGUAUCCUGUCUGAAUAUGGGGGGACCAUCCUCCAAGGCUAAAUACUCCUGACUGACCGAUAGUGAACCAGUACCGUGAGGGAAAGGCGAAAAGAACCCCGGCGAGGGGAGUGAAAAAGAACCUGAAACCGUGUACGUACAAGCAGUGGGAGCACGCUUAGGCGUGUGACUGCGUACCUUUUGUAUAAUGGGUCAGCGACUUAUAUUCUGUAGCAAGGUUAACCGAAUAGGGGAGCCGAAGGGAAACCGAGUCUUAACUGGGCGUUAAGUUGCAGGGUAUAGACCCGAAACCCGGUGAUCUAGCCAUGGGCAGGUUGAAGGUUGGGUAACACUAACUGGAGGACCGAACCGACUAAUGUUGAAAAAUUAGCGGAUGACUUGUGGCUGGGGGUGAAAGGCCAAUCAAACCGGGAGAUAGCUGGUUCUCCCCGAAAGCUAUUUAGGUAGCGCCUCGUGAAUUCAUCUCCGGGGGUAGAGCACUGUUUCGGCAAGGGGGUCAUCCCGACUUACCAACCCGAUGCAAACUGCGAAUACCGGAGAAUGUUAUCACGGGAGACACACGGCGGGUGCUAACGUCCGUCGUGAAGAGGGAAACAACCCAGACCGCCAGCUAAGGUCCCAAAGUCAUGGUUAAGUGGGAAACGAUGUGGGAAGGCCCAGACAGCCAGGAUGUUGGCUUAGAAGCAGCCAUCAUUUAAAGAAAGCGUAAUAGCUCACUGGUCGAGUCGGCCUGCGCGGAAGAUGUAACGGGGCUAAACCAUG
rnacentral:rRNA from 1 species